rnacentral:ribozyme from 1 species
AAAAAUGAUGAAAUUCCCAAAAAAAUCCCAAAAUUUGUGACACCCUUCCCCUGUACACCUCUCCCUCUUCUUUUCUUUUUCUUCCUCUUCUUUUUCCUCUUCUCCCUCCUCAAAGAGAAGAAGAAG